rnacentral:rRNA from 1 species
CUUAAAGACGAGGAUAACAGUUGGAAACGACUGCUAAUACUGGAUAGGUUAAAUUAACACAAGUUGAUUUAAUUAAAGUGCUUCAAAGCAGCACUUUAAGAGAGGCCUGCGUUGCAUUAGCUAGUUGGUGGGGUAACGGCCUACCAAGGCUACGAUGCAUAGCUGUGCUGAGAGGCAAAACAGCCACACUGGGACUGAGACACGGCCCAGACUCCUACGGGAGGCAGCAGUAGGGAAUUUUCGGCAAUGGACGAAAGUCUGACCGAGCAAUGCCGCCGUGAACGAUGAAGGUCUUCGGAUUGUAAAGUUCUGUUGUUAGGGAAGAAUAGAGUAAUUAGGAAAUGAGUUACUUUUGACGGUACCUAACUAGAAAGCCCCGGCUAACUAUGUGCCAGCAGCAGC